rnacentral:lncRNA from 1 species
ACACCGGCAUCAUCAUUUUGGCUGAGGGCCGUCUCAUGAACUUGGGUUGUGCCACUGGACACCCCAGCUUUGUGAUGUCCUGUUCUUUCACCAACCAAGUGAUUGCCCAGCUCGAGUUGUGGAAUGAGAGGAAGUCCGGCAAGUAUGAGAAGAAGGUGUAUGUUUUGCCAAAGCACCUUGAUGAGAAGGUCGCUGCCCUUCAUCUUGGCAAGCUUGGAGCUAAGCUCACCAAGCUCACCAAGGAACAGGCUGACUACAUCAGCGUGCCAGUUGAGGGUCCAUACAAGCCAGCUCACUACAGGUACUGAGAGGAGGAGAAGAUUGUCAAGGACAAGAGACAUGAGAAAAAAAUAUAUAUUUGGACGGGUUGUUUUUAAUUUGUUUAUUUUACAUUUUGAU